rnacentral:rRNA from 1 species
UUCCUACGGGAGGCAGCAGUGGGGGAUAUUGCACAAUGGGGGGAACCCUGAUGCAGCGACGCCGCGUGGGUGAAGAAGCGCCUCGGCGCGUAAAGCCCUUUCAGCAGGGAAGAAAAUGACGGUACCUGAAGAAGAAGCCCCGGCUAACUACGUGCCAGCAGCCGCGGCAAUACGUAGGGGGCGAGCGUUAUCCGGAUUCACUGGGCGUAAAGGGAGCGUAGACGGUCAUGCAA